rnacentral:tRNA from 1 species
GAGCCCGUGGCUCAAUGGUUAGAGUGAUUGACUUCUGAUCAAUGCAUCGCGGGUUCC